GAUUAACGCUAGCGGCAGGCAUAAUACAUGCAAGUUGAACGGCAGCACAGGUAGCAAUACUGGGUGGCGAGUGGCGCACGGGUGCGUAACACGUAUGCAACCUACCCUAUACAGGCGAAUAACCUUUAGAAAUGAGGGCUAAUACGCCGUAGUAUUACAGAUGGGCAUCUAUUUGUAAUUAAAGAUUUAUCGGUAUAGGAUGGGCAUGCGUCCCAUUAGUUAGUUGGUAAGGUAACGGCUUACCAAGACGAUGAUGGGUAGGGGAUCUGAGAGGACUUACCCCCACACUGGUACUGAGACACGGACCAGACUCCUACGGGAGGCAGCAGUAAGGAAUAUUGGGCAAUGGCCGCGAGGCUGACCCAGCCAUGCCGCGUGCAGGAAGACGGCCUUAUGGGUUGUAAACUGCUUUUAUACAGGAAUAAUAGAGUGUACGCGUACAUUUAUGCAAGUAUCGUAUGAAUAAGCAUCGGCUAACUCCGUG
rnacentral:rRNA from 1 species